rnacentral:rRNA from 1 species
CGAAUGCUGACAUAAGUAACGAUAAAGCGGGUGAAAAGCCCGCUCGCCGGAAGACCAAGGGUUCCUGUCCAACGUUAAUCGGGGCAGGGUGAGUCGACCCCUAAGGCGAGGCCGAAAGGCGUAGUCGAUGGGAAACAGGUUAAUAUUCCUGUACUUGGUGUUACUGCGAAGGGGGGACGGAGAAGGCUAUGUUGGCCGGGCGACGGUUGUCCCGGUUUAAGCGUGUAGGCUGGUUUUCCAGGCAAAUCCGGAAAAUCAAGGCUGAGGCGUGAUGACGAGGCACUACGGUGCUGAAGCAACAAAUGCCCUGCUUCCAGGAAAAGCCUCUAAGCAUCAGGUAACAUCAAAUCGUACCCCAAACCGACACAGGUGGUCAGGUAGAGAAUACCAAGGCGCUUGAGAGAACUCGGGUGAAGGAACUAGGCAAAAUGGUGCCGUAACUUCGGGAGAAGGCACGCUGAUAUGUAGGUGAAGUGAUUU